rnacentral:rRNA from 1 species
UACGGGGGGGGGCAAGCGUUGUUCGGAAUUACUGGGCGUAAAGGGUUUGUAGGUGGCUUGCUAAGUCAGACGUGAAAUCCCUCAGCUUAACUGGGGAACUGCGUCUGAGACUGGUGAGCUUGAGUGCAGGAGAGGAACGCGGAAUUCCAGGUGUAGCGGUGAAAUGCGUAGAUAUCUGGAGGAACACCGGUGGCGAAGGCGGCGUUCUGGACUGCAACUGACACUGAUGAACGAAAGCCAGGGGAGCAAACGGG